UCCGUAAGGGGGACCUGCGGAGGGAUCAUUAGAAGAAAUAACACUCUUCAAAACCUGUGGACCUAUACCUGCUGUAACAACGCCGUUCUUUCGGCGGGCUUGCCGCGGCUCCGGGCCUCCCUUCGGGGCGGUCUCGGCGCCUAGGCGCCCGCCGGAGGCGGCGAAACCAAACCCUUACUGUAUUCUAUGGCCUCUGUGAUUACAAAACAAAUAAGUCAAAACUUUCAACAAUGGAUCUCUUGGUUCUGGCAUCGAUGAAGAACGCAGCGAAAUGCGAUACGUAAUGUGAAUUGCAGAAUUCAGCGAAUCAUCGAAUCUUUGAACGCACAUUGCGCCCGCCAGUAUUCUGGCGGGCAUGCCUGUUCGAGCGUCAUUUCAACCCUCAAGCGCUGCUUGGUGUUGGGGCCUGCGGCGAGCAAUCGCCGCACCCCCUAAAAUCAGUGGCGGGCCCGCCUGGAUCCCGAGCGUAGUAGCACAUCUCGCUCGCGGAGCCCAGGCGUGACACGCCGUAAAACCCCCAAAUUUUACAAGGUUGACCUCGGAUCAGGUAGAAAGCCCGG
rnacentral:rRNA from 1 species